rnacentral:tRNA from 1 species
CAGGCUCAUAACCUGAAGGCCGCAGGUUCAAAUCCUGCCCCCGCAACCA